rnacentral:sRNA from 12 species
AACUGCGCCGUGUCUGGUGAGCGGAAACGCCCCAGGAAGUUUUGCAAUAAUAACUUUGACAACACGUAGCGCAGUUUC